AGCUAAUCAGGCUGUCGACACACCACAGUUUAAUAUAGCUGGAUAUAAACACAUAAAACUGCUGGCUAGGCACAGAGAGAUAAUUCAUUUGCCAUACUUCAUGUUCAUCUUAAACCAGUAUGAGGUGACACGAUACGGCUCACAGUUGGUCGACUCACAGACAGUCAAGCAGCAGCUGUGGACAGAAAGACAAACUUGCUGAAGUUGCUCUGAACGUCUUGGCAUCGUAUGACAGGCCAGAAAGACUGCGGAAGGACCGUCGCUCUUUGAAGGCCACAGUAGGAAGCAUAUCCUCCUCGUCCCUCAGCUCCAGCUUUGGCAUUUUUCCUGGAUCUGGUUGCCUGAUUACAGACUUUACGUUCUCACAAGGCAAGUUGUCCUUCACUGAUGCAGCUUUCUAAAGGGGACAAAAAGUGAGCAGGGCCUCUUGAUGAAGCAUGAACAAAGCGCCUGCCAGUGAUAGUCUUACCUUGUCAUCAGAGUCUGUCUUUCUUGUUCUUUUCAUGAUUUCUUCCAGGCGCUGAUUUGGGAAAAAUUUAAAUCACAAUAUACAUUAGGGUUGGUAAGAUUUU
rnacentral:lncRNA from 1 species